AGAGUUUGAUCCUGGCUCAGGACGAACGCUGGCGGCGCGCUUAACACAUGCAAGUCGAGCGAGAACCAUGCCUUCGGGCAUGGGGACAGCGGCGAACGGGUGAGUAACACGUGGGUAAUCUGCCCUUGNACAUCGGGAUAGCCCGGGGAAACCCGGAUUAAUACCGAAUAGCCUCCGGAGCCUUCGGGCGUCGGAGAAAAGGUAGCUUCGGCCUCUGGUCAAGGAUGAGCCCGCGGCGGAUUAGCUUGUUGGCGGGGUAACGGCCCACCAAGGCGACGAUCCGUAGCUGGUCUGAGAGGACGAUCAGCCACACUGGGACUGAGACACGGCCCAGACUCCUACGGGAGGCAGCAGUGGGGAAUCUUGCGCAAAUGCGGGAAACCGUGACGCAGCGACGCCGCGUGGGGGAAGAAGGCCUUCGGGUUGUAAACCUCUUUCAGGAGGGACGAAGCUACUCGGGUUAAUAGCCCAGAGGGUGACGGUACCUCCAGAAGAAGCCCCGGCUAACUACGUGCCAGCAGCCGCGGUAAUACGUAGGGGGCAAGCGUUGUCCGGAUUUAUUGGGCGUAAAGAGCGUGUAGGCGGCUUGGUAGGUCCGCUGUGAAAACUCGAGGCUCAACCUCNAGAUGUCGGCGGAAACCACUUGGCUAGAGUCCGGAAGAGGAGAGUGGAAUUCCCGGUG
rnacentral:rRNA from 1 species